rnacentral:rRNA from 1 species
GACUACGGCCAUGUCACCCUGAAUACACCAAAUCUUCUCUGAUCUCGGAAGCUAAGCAGGGUUGGGCCUGGUUAGUACUUGGAUGGCAGACCGCCUAGGAAUACCAGGUGCUGUUAGUGU